rnacentral:rRNA from 1 species
CCUACGGGAGGCAGCAGUGAGGAAUAUUGGUCAAUGGGCGCAAGCCUGAACCAGCCAAGUAGCGUGCAGGAUGACGGCCCUACGGGUUGUAAACUGCUUUUAUACGGGAAUAACGCGCCUUACGUGUAGGUCUUUGCAUGUACCUUAUGAAUAAGGACCGGCUAAUUCCGUGCCAGCAGCCGCGGUAAUACGGAAGGUCCGGGCGUUAUCCGGAUUUAUUGGGUUUAAAGGGAGCGUAGGCCGGAUGUCAAGCGUGCUGUGAAAGUUUGGGGCUCAACCCGGGACUUGCAGUGGAAACUGGCGGGCUUGAGUCCGCGGAAAGUAGGCGGAAUUCGUGGUGUAGCGGUGAAAUGCUUAGAUAUGACGAAGAACCCCGAUUGCGAAGGCAGCUUGCUGCAGCGGAACUGACGCUGAUGCUCGAAAGCGUGGGUAUCGAACAGGAUUAGAUACCCGUGUAGUC